UGAUGGUUGGUGGAAAUGGAAUUUUGUUUUUUUAAGAAUAACUUCAACUUGUUCCCCCUGCUAAUGGCUUCAGUAAACCACAAACAACGAAGUACAGAAGUUCCAUAUUCAAUUCAAAAUUAUCACAACAAAGAAAACCCUUUUUGUAAGAAUCCACAAGAAAACAAGUCAACCCCAGCAAUACAGUUAAAUAAACAAAAUUCCAUUUCCACCAACCAUCA
rnacentral:misc_RNA from 1 species